GGAAAUAAGGGCAUUGAGGAGGGCACUAACUUCAGCUCCGGUUUUGUUCAUAACUUCUCAGGCAUCUCUAUGGCUGUGAGAUUGGGUUCAGUAACACUGGCGGAAGGCAAAAAUAUGACUGUCACAUGGAGGUAAACUUUGUUUCUUUCUUCUGUAUAAAUUGUGUCUGGUUUGGAAUCCAGAAAGUGAGGUGAGCCCUCAGGCCAGGUUCAUGAUUUACACACCACAGAUGUACAGCAAAUUGUUUACCUACAACUUUGUGGCCCAGGAGUGAGCUUUUCCUUGUACAGCAGAUUAAUAAAAUGAGCUGAGUUGUGUUUGUGGA